rnacentral:lncRNA from 1 species
GUAGAGUAGAGGGGAGAGGAGGAGAGAGGAGGAGAGAGGAGAGUAGAGCAGAGAGGAGAGGAGAGAGUAGAGUUAGAAGUAAAGUAGAGUAGAGGGGAGUGGAGAAGAGAGAGGAGAGUAGAGGAGAGAGGAGUAGAUGAGAGAGGAGAGUAGAGGAGAGAGGGGAGAGUAGAGUAGAGUAGAGUAGAGAAUAGAGAAGAGGAGUGGAGAGAGGAGUGUAGUAGAGAGCAGUGGAGAGAGAGUAGGAGAGAGGAGGGUAGAGAGUAGAGGAGAGAGGAAAGGAGAAUAGAGUAGAGAGGAGAGAGGAAAGGAGAAUAGAGUAGAGAGGAGAGAAGGGGGAAGAGGAGAGUAGAGAGUAGAGGAGAGAGGAGAGUAGAGGAGAGAGGAGAGUAGAGGUGAGAGGAGAGUAGUGGAGAGAAGAGGAGAAGACAGAGGGAGAGAUAGAAGGGUCACGAUCAGAUGAGGUCAUGCAUUUUUCUGCAUGUUCUUAAAAAAAGAUAGAUUUAGAGUUAGAUAAACUUGGAUUUUUUGUCAGGAACAUAUACAGGAUGCUACCCUCUACAACAUAACCUUCACUCCAAAUCAAAACUCAAAACCUACAACCUGAUUUUGGAUGGAAUUACGGAAUCACCUGGAAGGUUUACAACUACCAAGGAUUAUUAUUCCAACGCUAUACAGCAAAUUCUCUGGAAACAACAGAAGCCUGAAAACACCAUCCAACCUGGAACUGAGAGAGUCAUGUUUAGUCUGAAGCUAUAUUUUAUUU